rnacentral:rRNA from 1 species
UACGUAGGGUGCAAGCGUUAAUCGGAAUUACUGGGCGUAAAGCGUGCGCGAGGCGGUGAUGUAAGACAGAUGUGAAAUCCCCGGGCUCAACCUGGGAACUGCAUUUGUGACUGCAUCGCUGGAGUACGGCAGAGGGGGAUGGAAUUCCGCGUGUAGCAGUGAAAUGCGUAGAGAUCCGGAGGAACACCGAUGGCGAAGGCAGCCCCCCUGGGCUAACACUGACGCUCAGGCACGAAAGCGUGGGGAGCAAACAGG